UACAGAGGUCUCGAGCGUUAGGCGGAAUCACUGGGCUUAAAGCGUGUGUAGGCGGAUCGUUAAGUACCUUGUGAAAUCCCACGGCUUAACCGUGGAACUGCUUGGUAUACUGGCGGUCUUGAGCCAGCUAGGGGCUACCGGAACAAAUGGUGGAGCGGUGAAAUGCGUAGAUAUCGUUUGGAACGCCAAUGGUGAAAACAGGUAGCUGGGGCUGUGCUGACGCUGAGACACGAAAGCCAGGGGAGCAAACGGG
rnacentral:rRNA from 1 species